rnacentral:rRNA from 1 species
GGUCUGCAACUCGACCACACGAAGCUGGAAUCGCUAGUAAUCGCGCAUCAGCCAUGGCGCGGUGAAUACGUUCCCGGGCCUUGUACACACCGCCCGUCAAGCCAUGGGAGCCGGGGGCGCCUGAAGUCCGGGACCGCGAGGACCGGCCUAGGGCGAAACUGGUGACUGGGGCUAAGUCGUAACAAGGUACC